GAGGAUAUCACCCAGCUCGUCAUGUUAGAGCACUUUUUCAAUGUGCUCCCCAACGAGAAGGCGACAACGCAUUCGUAUGUCAAUCCAUAUCAACUUUCGAUGCCAUUGACUGCGCCUACCAUGGUGACCACGGGUAAUGGGGAAUCAGGGUUCGAUUCCGUACAGGAACCCUGACAAACGGCUACCACAUGCAAGGAAGGCAGCAGGCACGCAAAUGACCCACUCCUGGCGAGGGAAGGUAGUGAC
rnacentral:rRNA from 1 species